AUACAAAGGAGAAUUAAAAGGAUGAGACAUUUGAUUUUAGAACAAGAGGAAGAGAGCACACUGAGUGUAGGAGCCAUCUGGGCCAGUUUAAUGAUGAGCGGGUCCUGAGGCUUCAGCGCAUGUGUGACUUUGAAGGAAUGUGCUUCACCCCGCAUCAAAAUAUGAGUGAGAAAUAAGUGAGAACCACAUAUCAACCACCCAGAACACCCUAGCAACCAUAAAGCAACACCCUGGCAACCAGGUACAACAUCCUAGCAUCUUCACAACAGAUUUUGCAGAAGUAAGCAACAGUCCUAUUUUCUCUAGAAAUCUAGUCUCAUUCUGUAUGGUUUAUAAGCAUUUUGAAAAAUGAGGAC